rnacentral:rRNA from 1 species
CAGUCGAACGAUGAAGCCCUUCGGGGUGGAUUAGUGGCGAACGGGUGAGUAACACGUGGGCAAUCUGCCCUUCACUCUGGGACAAGCCCUGGAAACGGGGUCUAAUACCGGAUAACACUCUGUCCCGCAUGGGACGGGGUUGAAAGCUCCGGCGGUGAAGGAUGAGCCCGCGGCCUAUCAGCUUGUUGGUGGGGUAAUGGCCUACCAAGGCGACGACGGGUAGCCGGCCUGAGAGGGCGACCGGCCACACUGGGACUGAGACACGGCCCAGACUCCUACGGGAGGCAGCAGUGGGGAAUAUUGCACAAUGGGCGAAAGCCUGAUGCAGCGACGCCGCGUGAGGGAUGACGGCCUUCGGGUUGUAAACCUCUUUCAGCAGGGAAGAAGCGAAAGUGACGGUACCUGCAGAAGAAGCGCCGGCUAACUACGUGCCAGCAGCCGCGGUAAUACGUAGGGCGCAAGCGUUGUCCGGAAUUAUUGGGCGUAAAGAGCUCGUAGGCGGCUUGUCACGUCGGAUGUGAAAGCCCGGGGCUUAACCCCGGGUCUGCAUUCGAUACGGGCUAGCUAGAGUGUGGUAGGGGAGAUCGGAAUUCCUGGUGUAGCGGUGAAAUGCGCAGAUAUCAGGAGGAACACCGGUGGCGAAGGCGGAUCUCUGGGCCAUUACUGACGCUGAGGAGCGAAAGCGUGGGGAGCGAACAGGAUUAGAUACCCUGGUAGUCCACGCCGUA